AGCUCCGCAAGUGUAUAUCUAUGUUGCUGCGGUUAAAAAGCUCGUAGUUGGAUCUGCGUGUUUAGCGUCCGGUUCGCCCUCUGGGUGCUACUGGAACGCGACACAGAUGUGUUGGUUUGUCGUCGGUGCUCUUAAUCGGGUGUCGGCGGCGGCUAACGAGUUUACUUUGAAAAAAUUAGAGUGCUCAAAACAGGCGUUUCGCCUGAAUAUUUCUGCAUGGAAUAAUAGAAUAGGACUUCGAUUCUAUUCUGUUGGUUUUCGGAAUGCGAGGUAAUGAUUAAGAGGGACAGACGGGGGCAUUCGUACUGCGACGUUAGAGGUGAAAUUCUUGGAUCGUCGCAAGACGUACUACUGCGAAGGCAUUUGCCAAGAAUGUUUUCA
rnacentral:rRNA from 1 species